AUGAUUUACAAUAAGUAGGUAAUUUUGUUUUACCAAAGAGUAAAAAAAGAAAUAACAGAGGCACAUGAGGUAAGCGUAUAAAGUAACCGACAAUAAGAUAACUGGGAGAUACAAUAUAAUAGAAAGGACAAGACCGUCUUUUAAAGGGAAAGUCUCUACCAAUUUCAAUUUGAGCACUUUCUCUCUCCUCCCGCUUCUCUCUUCCAAAAAAAAAAAAAAAAAAAAAGAAGAAUGAACAAGAGCUUGGGUGAUGGCGGCUCCGCUAGGGUUUCGAUACCGCGUAAUCUCCGAGAAACUGUUCAGAGUAUCAGAGAGAUGACAGGGAAGCAGCACUCGGACGAGGAUAUCUACGCCGUCUAUAAGGAAUCGUUUAAUGAUCCUUUCGAGACCGCCCAGAAGCUCCGCUUUUUAGAUACGUUUCAUGAGGUGAGAAGCAAAAGAGACAAGAAGAAGGAGAAUCUUGUGCCAAUUAACCAAGCGAGUGCCAGAACUGGUCGGAGGAACUUUGCUUCUAGCAACACUUAUCAUGGCAAUGGAAGAAGUUCAUCCUUCAAAAGGGAGAGUGGAUCUAAUCAUGUCACAGGGGGAUCAAGACCUUCUCUUCCUAAUACUAACAACAGAGCAAGAAACCCCACUUUACCUCGUGCGACAAAGGUUCCUGCUCCCAGUGGGGUAAGCAAUCAUAAAGUUGAAGAUGAUUUCACUGCCACUGUGAACAAGGGAGUUGCAGAGAAACUUCCUCUUUCCAAGUCUAUUUCUUUCUCCGAGGAUGCUGUUGAGCCAGAGACGUCUAAAGCAAAUUCAGAACAAGUUGCUCCACCUGUAUCAGUGUCUGUUGUACAGAACCAUACACAAGAUGUAAUUUCUGCUCAGCCUGAUGUGAAUAACCAGCCAGCAGAACUGCAGUCAUCUACCUUUGGUCGACAGGAUCCUUCUUUGAUUUCUGCUUCUCACUGCAGUAACCAUUCUGAUCAAGUCACCGGAAAUGAGACUGCAUCCAAGAAAGGCAAAGCUCGAUCGCUUCUCAAGUUAGAUGUUGGCGAGCGGUCACACGUUACAUUUCCAUUGCACCUUCAGGUUGCAGACGAGCUGCAAAAUGGUCUGACCUUUGGAAGUUUUGAUUCUAAUUUUGUGAAAGAGCUAUCUUCUUCUACCUAUGGUGCUAGUGGCGGUGAUGACUCAGAUUUUAAGUCCUCUCACGGAACAGGGGAUGAUGAGAGAGAUUCUUCCCCCACUACCAAUGGCAUUCAUGCGGUUGCUUCUGCCAGAGGAGCAUCAUCCUAUUUUGAAGAUGAUAAUGGGAUUCCAAAUUCAGCACCCGGAGCUUUACCGAACACACAACCUCAUCAAAUUGCUUAUGGUCAAGACGCCCCAUUCAGCGUGUUUGGUCUUGUUCCCUCGUUUUCAGCACUGGGCCAACCGGUAAACACAGAAGCAGCUGCGACUCAGCUUGGAAAUUCUAAUGCCCCAGCUAUGUCAUUAGUAUCAAACCCGCCAGGUCAGAGCUCUAUAGCAGCAGUCUCUCAGCAGGCAACUCAUCUUUUCGGGCAACAAUACCCUCCCAGUUUCUUCCCUUACGGUCCCUAUUACCCACAGUUUUAUAUGCCACCACCAUACAUUCACCAGUUCUUGGGCCCAAAUGGAAUUCCACAGCAGUUUUAUUUUCCACCCGGGGCUGCUAUAGCAGCACCUACCCAUAUAGCACCAGUAGGCGACAAUGAGAACCCUCCUACAACAAACCCAUCCCAACAUGCUUCUUCCACAGUUGCUACUCACAUCCCAUCUGCAACUGCCUUAAACUCUAUCCAUAGUGAAGAAAGGACUUCAGCAAUGACUGGAAACGCCGGUGCGUGGAUUGGGCAGGGACUUGGCAACCUGCAGAUGAAUCCAAUGUACAACCUAGCCCUGCAAGGUCAGCCACUUGGUUUCCCAGUCGUGCAGGCUGGUCAUAGGGGGCUCAUGGGAAUACACCAACCAUCACAGCCCAUGCCCGCUCCUUCAAUUACAUAUCAGACCUUAACGCCAUUGCCACCGACGACAGCUAUGGCUGAACCCAUAAGACACCCAAACAUUGCCCAUCAGCAACCUCAAGCUGCAGUAACGAAUAACAACUAUUAGGCCGAGGGGAAGCAGCUAUAUAUGAAGAUACACAUCAAACGUGUUAAAGUCUGGAUUUUUGGGUGUAAAUAGGAAACAUCAUCCCCAGAGGAAUUUAGGUUUGACAAUUACAAGAGGGAAGAAGAAGAAGAUGAGCUUUCAAUGUAGCAAACCUUUUUGCCAUAUUUAUUUUGUUGUGAUAAUACAUAAAGAACGAUGUUUGGGAAGAUGAUCCCAAUGGAAUAGUUAUUAGAAACUGAUGAUGUCUCUUUUAGUUUGUAUUCUCUUACAAACAUAUAGUAUCAGAUAUGUCUUGGCUGAAUAA